AUUGAACGCUGGCGGCAUGCCUUACACAUGCAAGUCGAACGGCAGCACGGGUGCUUGCACCUGGUGGCGAGUGGCGAACGGGUGAGUAAUACAUCGGAACAUGUCCUGUAGUGGGGGAUAGCCCGGCGAAAGCCGGAUUAAUACCGCAUACGAUCUACGGCUGAAAGCGGGGGACCUUCUGGCCUCGCGCUAUCGGGUUGGCCGAUGGCUGAUUAGCUAGUUGGUGGGGUAAAGGCCUACCAAGGCGACGAUCAGUAGCUGGUCUGAGAGGCCGACCAGCCACACUGGGACUGAGACACGGCCCAGACUCCUACGGGAGGCAGCAGUGGGGAAUUUUGGACAAUGGGCGAAAGCCUGAUCCAGCAAUGCCGCGUGUGUGAAGAAGGCCUUCGGGUUGUAAAGCACUUUUGUCCGGAAAGAAAUCCUUGGCCCUAAUACGGUCGGGGGAUGACGGUACCGGAAGAAUAAGCACCGGCUAACUACGUG
rnacentral:rRNA from 1 species